GUCAAUAACGUAAUGUCCCUUCUGCCAGUGAACCUGAAUAGUGGAACUGAUUCUAUGAUAAACAUUUUCCAAAGUGGGAACACAGCAAUCAUCCAGUUCACGACUGAUGUAAUGGUAUCGUAUGAUUGGGAUAGCGUUGUACGCAUUGAGCUCACAAGGCGUUAUUCAAAGAAUGUUGAAGGCAUGUGCGGGAAUUACAACCAGGAUCCGGCAGAUGACUUUCAAAUGCCUAGCGGCUCACAGGCCCCUAAUGCCAUUGAAUUUGGAAAGAGUUG